CUCAGUCGGUGCCGCCGCCGCCGCCCGCCCGGCCGGGCUGCCGCCGCCGCUCUUCUGCCGCUGCUGCUCCUCCCGGCCCGAACUUGAGACUCAUGAAGGGAGCGCGCAGGGCAGGGACGGGGCGGCCGCGGCGCGCAGCUCUGCCCGCACCGGCGGCAGCGCCCGCCGCGCCUCCAACUACCGCCGCCUCCUCCGCCGCCGCCGCCGCCUGACCAUUUGUGCCAGCCCCUCGAGCCCGCGCCCCCUCGCCCCGCCGCGCCGCGCUCCCUCCGACCGGUUUCCAGGCGCCCCGCAGUCUGCCUUUCACCGGGAGGGAGGAGCCUUGAAACCGACGCCGAACUUUCCUGCACCUGAUCCUUAAGGGAAGCCUACAAAACAUGCUCUACAGAAGUGAGCAUGGGAACUAGAUUUCCUAACUCUGCAGAACACCCAAAACCAUGGACUCAGUAGAGAUACUGAAGAAAUGUAGAUGAUCCCUUGUAAAUUAAAGCCUUAUGUUGCCUGCCUUUCCUGAUGUGUUCUGUGAUUGGGUGAGAGAGGAGCUGGGGCUGCAGUCUUUCUGCUGGUGGAAGAAGUUUUCCGGAAAACAAGAAAAAGUUAGAGCUCUUAAAAGGGCAAGUGCAGAUCACCAGCUCAUUUUGUUAAGAGAAAACAGGAACAUUUUUAUUUUCUUCUUUUUAUUUCCUGCUCUUAAGUGAAUUACUCUUCAAUUAAAUA